UACGGAGGGUGCAAGCGUUAUCCGGAUUCACUGGGUUUAAAGGGUGCGUAGGUGGGUUGGUAAGUCAGUGGUGAAAUCCCCGAGCUUAACUUGGGAACUGCCAUUGAUACUAUCAGUCUUGAAUAUUGUGGAGGUUAGCGGAAUAUGUCAUGUAGCGGUGAAAUGCUUAGAUAUGACAUAGAACACCAAUUGCGAAGGCAGCUGGCUACGCAUAUAUUGACACUGAGGCACGAAAGCGUGGGGAGCAAACAGG
rnacentral:rRNA from 1 species